rnacentral:rRNA from 1 species
UGUCAAAUCAUCAUGCCCUUUAUGUCCUGGGCUUCACACGUACUACAAUGGCGGUCAACAACGGGUAGCGAAGGCGCGAGCCGGAGCCAAUCUCCAAAAACCGUCUCAGUUCGGAUUACAGGCUGCAACCCGCCUGUAUGAAGUCGGAAUUGCUAGUAAUCGCGGAUCAGCAUGCCGCGGUGAAUACGUUCCCGGGCCUU